CGGGAGAGGAGGGUGCGCUGCAGCCGGAAACCACAGACCCCGCCUCCCACGCCCGGCAACGGAGUCCAGGAGCAGCGGCCCCCACCCCACUCCAGAGGCGGAACAGGCGCUCGGGGGACAGGCACAGAGCCGGGCCUUGAUGUGUGUUUCCUGACUUGAUGACUCCCAGCAAGCUUGCCAGAUCUGACUGGACAGCUGGGAAAAGCCAAGCCUGAGAUAAUCAGACUGGAAACAAGAUGACAAGACUGAUGCGAGAUGAAAGUGCCUCCUUUCAAGGCCGGGUGGAGGGGGUAAGAUCCUGCUGGGAAGGA